rnacentral:rRNA from 1 species
GAUGAACGCUGGCGGCGUGCCUAAUACAUGCAAGUCGAGCGAACAGACGAGGAGCUUGCUCCUCUGACGUUAGCGGCGGACGGGUGAGUAACACGUGGAUAACCUACCUAUAAGACUGGGAUAAAUUCGGGAAACCGGAGCUAAUGCCGGAUAAUAUAUUGAACCGCAUGGUUCAAUAGUGAAAGACGGUUUUGCUGUCACUUAUAGAUGGAUCCGCGCCGCAUUAGCUAGUUGGUAAGGUAACGGCUUACCAAGGCAACGAUGCGUAGCGGACCUGAGAGGGUGAGCGGCCACACUGGAACUGAGACACGGUCCAGACUCCUACGGGAGGCAGCAGUAGGGAAUCUUCCGCAAUGGGCGAGAGCGUGACGGAGCAACGCCGCGUGAGUGAUGAAGGUCUUCGGAUCGUAAAACUCUGUUAUUAGGGAAGAACAAAUGUGUAAGUAACUAUGCACGUCUUGACGGUACCUAAUCAGAAAGCCACGGCUAACUACGUG